UUUGACGUUGUAUGGGUCACACAAGCCCGGAAUUACUUUAAUUGCAUUUUCGUUAAACUUGUAAUUAAUCUAUUUUAAAUAUAAAAAUUUGUGCUACCUUACCAAUAAUAUGUACAAUUAUCGUAACAUUAAGCCUGCUCAUGUGCAUAUUUAAUAUCGAUCAUAUACAAAAUUGUUUUCAAAGUGACUUUGUGAGGUAAAAAGUGUUGAAACCAUUCAUAAUACAAAAAUCAAAGAUAGGAAUAUAAUUUUAAUAUUUAAUGGUAAGUCGUUUAAGUUGUUUUUUUUUAAUUUUUUUUUUGUAAGUAUGGGAAUUUGACAUGAAAUAUUGGAGGGGAAGUAAAAUAACAAAAGUUGACUUUCAAUUAUUUUGGCUUCCCUCUAAUAUGUUUGUGUAUAAUUCCCUAUGUCACCCAUUCCCCAUAUUCCCUCCCUGUAACCCACGACCAACCCCACUCAGAUAAACUUGAAGUAUCCAAUUCAAAUGCUACUACAUACACUCCAAAGAAAAAAGAAUUCCUUGCGUGUAUUUCUGUUUUUUUUCUCUCUCAAUGUCUUGCUAUUUCCCCACCUGAUGGUCAUCCAACAAUCGCUUUAGCACAAGGAACAGUUAUUCUAUGGAGUUUUCAACUCCAGCACAUAAUUUGUCUUAAUGGAGGAAUUCUUAACAUCCUUUUAAUAAGGAGGUACAUGAAGGUGCAAAAAGUGUCUCAAGAGUGAAGUUUUUAGUUUAAAGAUGUUGCAUUAGCACAUGAGGAAGCAACAUACUUUUACUUUUUCAAUUAAUCAUUAUUCAUGUAUUUCAAUUAGAUUUUUUAUGAUUAGUGAUUUCACUCUAUUUACUCAAUUUUGGACCCAUAUGUUAUCGCAUAAUUAUAGAUGUAAUUAGCAGUUGGUUUUGUAUGACUUUUGUGAUGUCUUUUAUUUAAAGAUUUAAAUACUCCCUAGUACGCUUUUGAUCACAAAGUAUCUAUUUACGGAAAGUAGAUUGUAUUGCACAUUUUCAUCCUGCAUCAAAUUUUAAAUUCAGUGAAAAAAGUAAUUUAUUCCAUAAUGGCCUUCAUAUUAACAACAUAAUUAUAUUUUUAAUUACAAAUUAACUUUAUUUGAUGACAAUUGAAAUUUUCACAAAUUAACGUAACGUAUAGUGACGAAUUAGU